rnacentral:rRNA from 1 species
UACAGAGGUCCCAAGCGUUGUUCGGAUUCAUUGGGCGUAAAGGGUGCGUAGGCGGCGCGGUAAGUCGGGUGUGAAAUCUCGGAGCUUAACUCCGAAACUGCAUUCGAUACUGCCGUGCUUGAGGACUGGAGAGGAGACUGGAAUUUACGGUGUAGCGGUGAAAUGCGUAGAUAUCGUAAGGAAGACCAGUGGUGAAGGCGGCUCUCUGGGACGGUACUGACGCUGAGACGCGAAAGCGUGGGGAGCGAACAGG